GCCUGUGUAGCUCAGUUGGUAGGGCAUGGCCCUUGAAAUGCCAGGGUUGUGGGUUCGAGUCCCACGGGGGGCC